rnacentral:rRNA from 1 species
CCUACGGGUGGCAGCAGUGAGGAAUAUUGGUCAAUGGGCGCGAGCCUGAACCAGCCAAGUAGCGUGAAGGAUGACUGCCCUACGGGUUGUAAACUUCGUUUAUAAAGGAAUGAAGGGAGGCACGUGUGCCUUCUUGUACGGACUUUAUGAAUAAGGAACGGCUAACUACGUGCCAGCAGCCGCGGUAAUACGGAGGAUCCGAGCGUUAUCCGGAUUUAUUGGGUUUAAAGGGAGCGUAGAUGGGUUGUUAAGUCAGUUGUGAAAGUCUGCGGCUCAACCGUAAAAUUGCAAUUGAUACUGGCAGCCUUGAGUGCAGUUGAGGUAGGCGGAAUUCGUGGUGUAGCGGUGAAAUGCUUAGAUAUAACGAAGAACUCCGAUUGCGAAGGCAGCUUACUAAUCUGCCACUGACAUUGAUGCUCGAAAGUGUGGGUAUCAAACAGGAUUAGAUACCCUUGUAGUC